rnacentral:rRNA from 1 species
GAUGAACGCUGGCGGCGUGCUUAACACAUGCAAGUCGAACGAAGCACUUUAUUUGAUUUCCUUCGGGACUGAUUAUUUUGUGACUGAGUGGCGGACGGGUGAGUAACGCGUGGGUAACCUGCCUUGUACAGGGGGAUAACAGUUGGAAACGGCUGCUAAUACCGCAUAAGCGCACGGCAUCGCAUGAUGCAGUGUGAAAAACUCCGGUGGCAUAAGAUGGACCCGCGUUGGAUUAGCUAGUUGGUGAGGUAACGGCCCACCAAGGCGACGAUCCAUAGCCGACCUGAGAGGGUGACCGGCCACAUUGGGACUGAGACACGGCCCAAACUCCUACGGGAGGCAGCAGUGGGGAAUAUUGCACAAUGGGCGAAAGCCUGAUGCAGCGACGCCGCGUGAGCGAAGAAGUAUUUCGGUAUGUAAAGCUCUAUCAGCAGGGAAGAUAAUGACGGUACCUGACUAAGAAGCACCGGCUAAAUACGUG